rnacentral:rRNA from 1 species
UACGGGGGGGGGCAAGCGUUUGUUCGGAAUUACUGGGCGUAAAGGGCUCGUAGGUGGCCAACUAAGUCAGACGUGAAAUCCCUCGGCUUAACCGGGGAACUGCGUCUGAUACUGGAUGGCUUGAGUUUGGGAGAGGGACGCGGAAUUCCGGGUGUAGCGGUGAAAUGCGUAGAUAUCCGGAGGAACACCGGUGGCGAAGGCGGCUUCCUGGACCGACACUGACGCUGAGGCGCGAAAGCUAGGGGAGCAAACGGG